GCGGCCGCGGGCUUGGCACGGGGCGCCUGGGGCCUGGAGGGGGCGCCGCGCGGCGGAGGAGACGGCGGGAGACCGCGCCGGACAGGUUUCUGGACCAGACCUAGAGCUUCACCAAGAGAAUUCGACUUGGAAACCAAGACUGGUAGACUCUCGUUUCUUCCGGCAAGAAGCAGAAGUCAGAGAGAGACUACGGAUUUUUGGGACACCUGUUUUCCUUUUGGAGGACGCUAAGUUCUUUGGGAAGACAAGACAGUUCAGUAUGGCAACAGAACUGAAAGAACAGGAGGGAGAGCCAUUACUGUGAUUUGGUGACAGUUCUUCAAACAACAGUGUCCUAAGGAAAAUUGGAUAAAGAAUUUCUGAACUUGUUUUGGGUUCGUUAAGUGAGGAGUCAGCAUGGCUCAGGCAAGUCUUCUGGCUUGUGAAGGCCUAGCAGGUGUGAGUUUGGUUCCCACUGCAGCCAGCAAGAAGAUGAUGCUGAGUCAGAUUGCCAGCAAGCAGGCCGAAAAUGGCGAGCGGGCAGGUAGCCCCGAUGUGCUGAGGUGUUCCAGUCAGGGCCACCGAAAAGACAGUGAUAAAUCCCGCA
rnacentral:lncRNA from 1 species